CCAACAAGUUCAACUAUGAGUUGAACUGGGACUCAAGCUAAUGUGCCUUCGACAUCAACAAAUUACAAAGGUUCAACUACGAUUGAACAACAACUCAGGCUACGUGCCCUCGCCCAACAAGUUCAACUAUGAGUUUAACUGGGACUCAGGCUAUGUGCCUUCGACAUUAAAAAAUUACAAAGGUUCGAUUACGGUUGAACAACAACGCAGGCUACAUGCCCUCACCCAACAAGUUCAACUAUGAGUUGAACUGGGACUCAAGCUACAUGCCCUCACCCAAC
rnacentral:lncRNA from 1 species